UACCUGGUUGAUUCUGCCAGUAGUCAUAUGCUUGUCUCAAAGAUUAAGCCAUGCAUGUCUAAGUAUAAGCAAUUUAUACCGUGAAACUGCGAAUGGCUCAUUAAAUCAGUUAUCGUUUAUUUGAUAGUACCUUACUACUUGGAUAACCGUGGUAAUUCUAGAGCUAAUACAUGCUAAAAGCCCCGACUUCGGAAAGGGGUGUAUUUAUUAGAUAAAA
rfam:Blumeria graminis f. sp. hordei DH14, WGS project CATH01000000 data, contig: 011416